ensembl:lincRNA
AGAUACUUGGGCCUCGGACAGUGUCUUGACCUGUAGCUCCUGCAUGUGAUUCGUGAGUGGAGAGGACAUGCCCAGCAUGUGUGUACAGAGUCUUGCAUCUGCCUGGUGCAAGUGCUAAAGGAAAUGCAGAUGGAAGCUCACAGAUGGAAGCCUGCUAAUCAUACAGCUGUUUUUUUGUUGGGACUUCUACUGGAGAACAUUCUUAACUCCUUGAACUGCUUAAACGGUCUCUGAAUACUCUGACCAGAAGUCACCCUGCUAGCUGUGAACCCAGCUUGCCUGAAAGAGGUAGCAUGUUCCUGUGAGGUCGUUCCAGAUACCUCACCGAGAAUUCCAUGUAUGGAAGGAAGACAGAUAAAGGUAGCUCGAUUUGGUGUAAGUAAUUGCAUUUUACUUUCUCCUCUGAGUCCCUCUCGAUCAGUUGGAUCUAAAU